rnacentral:rRNA from 1 species
CUUGGAGGAAUGAAUAGCAAUUGCUAUUUGCACCAAAAUUUUUGGUGUAAAAUCGACUUUGUCGAAUAAAAUUCUGGGUGGAGUUAUGAUAAUGACAUUAUCUACUUAUAAAUCUUGACCAAAUUACGUGCCAGCAGUCGCGGUAAUACGUAAAAGACAAGUGUUAUUCAUCUUUAAUAGGUUUAAAGGGUACUUAGACGGUAAAUAAAGCCUCUAAAGGGGACUAGUUUGCUAGAGUUUUAUGUGAAGGAGUUUUAAAGUACUACUGGUGUAGAGAUGAAAUUCAGUUAUACCUUACAUGGCACAGGUUAAGGCGAAAGCAUCUUCUUAUGUAAAAACUGACGUUAAAGGACGAAGGCUUUGUGUCUCGAACAGGAUUAGAUACCCUAGUAGUCUAAGCAGAAAAUUAUGAAUGUCAUAGAUUAGAUUUAGUUUGAUCUAUAAAUGAAAGUGUAAGCAUUCCACCUCAAGAGUAAUUUGGCAACAUUGGAACUGAAAUCAUUAGACCGUUUCUGAAACCAGUAGUGAAGUAUGUUGUUUAAUUUGAUAACCCGCAAAAAACCUUACCACAAUUUGAAUAGAUAUAUUUUAUCAUACAAGUGUUGCAUGGCUGUUUUUAGUUAAUGUCGUGAGAUUUUGGUUAGUUCCAUUAAAUUAACGUAAACCCUUACUUUAUUUUAAAAUAAAGUAGUUCACCGCUAUAUUGGAUGUGAUAAUAGGGAUCAAGACAAGUCGUUAUGACCUAAAUAUUGUGGGCUA